GUGGGGAAUAUUGGACAAUGGGGGAAACCCUGAUCCAGCAAUGCCGCGUGGGUGAUGAAGGCCUUCGGGUUGUAAAGCCCUUUCGGCGGGGACGAUGAUGACGGUACCCGCAGAAGAAGCCCCGGCUAACUUCGUGCCAGCAGCCGCGGUAAUACGAAGGGGGCUAGCGUUGUUCGGAAUUACUGGGCGUAAAGGGCGCGCAGGCGGCUUGGCGAGUUGGGCGUGAAAGGCCUGGGCUUAACCCGGGAACUGCGCUCGAUACUGCCAGGCUCGAGUGUGGGAGAGGAUGGUGGAAUUCCUAGUGUAGAGGUGAAAUUCGUAGAUAUUAGGAAGAACACCGGCGGCGAAGGCGGCCAUCUGGACCACAACUGACGCUGAGGCGCGAAAGCGUGGGGAGCAAACAGGAUUAGAUACCCGGGUAGUCC
rnacentral:rRNA from 1 species